UGGGGAAUAUUGCACAAUGGGCGCAAGCCUGAUGCAGCCAUGCCGCGUGUGUGAAGAAGGCCUUCGGGUUGUAAAGCACUUUCAGCGGGGAGGAAGGCGUUAAGGUUAAUAACCUUGGCGAUUGACGUUACCCGCAGAAGAAGCACCGGCUAACUCCGUGCCAGCAGCCGCGGUAAUACGGAGGGUGCAAGCGUUAAUCGGAAUUACUGGGCGUAAAGCGCACGCAGGCGGUCUGUCAAGUCGGAUGUGAAAUCCCCGGGCUCAACCUGGGAACUGCAUUCGAAACUAGCAGGCUAGAGUAUUGUAGAGGGGGGUAGAAUUCCAGGUGUAGCGGUGAAAUGCGUAGAGAUCUGGAGGAAUACCGGUGGCGAAGGCGGCCCCCUGGACAAAGACUGACGCUCAGGUGCGAAAGCGUGGGGAGCAAACAGG
rnacentral:rRNA from 1 species